rnacentral:rRNA from 1 species
AGCGAACGCUGGCGGCAGGCUUAACACAUGCAAGUCGAGCGGACCUUUCGGGGUCAGCGGCGGACGGGUGAGUAACGCGUGGGAACGUGCCUUCUGGUCUGGAAUAACCCUGGGAAACUAGGGCUAAUACCGGAUACGCCCUUUUGGGGAAAGGUUUACUGCCGGAAGAUCGGCCCGCGUCUGAUUAGCUAGUUGGUGGGGUAACGCCUACCAAGGCGACGAUCAGUAGCUGGUCUGAGAGGAUGANCAGCCACACUGGGACUGAGACACGGCCCAGACUCCUACGGGAGGCAGCAGUGGGGAAUAUUGGACAAUGGGCGCAAGCCUGAUCCAGCCAUGCCGCGUGAGUGAUGAAGG